UACGAAGGGUGCUAGCGUUGUUCGGAAUUACUGGGCGUAAAGCGCGCGUAGGCGGUCAUGCAAGUCAGGGGUGAAAUCCCGCAGCUCAACUGCGGAACUGCCUUUGAAACUGCAUGGCUGGAGUGUGUGAGGGGAUGGCGGAAUUCCUAAUGUAGAGGUGAAAUUCGUAGAUAUUCGCAAGAACACCAGUGGCGAAGGCGGCUCACUGGCCCGAUACUGACGCUGAGGCACGAAAGCGUGGGGAGCAAACAGG
rnacentral:rRNA from 1 species